rnacentral:rRNA from 1 species
AUGUCGCCGACGGUCGCCGCUUUCGCUCUCGUUGCGCUCUGCUUCGCUCAUUCUUGCCCGGUAGCAGCGGCGGCGGCGGAGACGGACGCCGUCUCAGCGCGGCGGCCGCUGCGGGGCAGCGACACGGUGGUCUCGGCGCAGGGCAAGUUCGAGGCCGGGCUCUUCAGCCCCGGCAGCUCCGGCCGGUUCUACCUCGGCGUAUGGUACAAGAACAUCCCCGUCCAGACCGUCAUCUGGGUCGGCAACCGCGGGAGCCCCCUGUCCAGCGCCGAGUCCGCCGAGCUCCGGGUGUCCCCCGACGACGGCGGCCUCGAGCUCGUCGGCGCCAGCGAGGGCGUCGUGUGGUCGUCGUCGAGGUCGAACCUGUCGUCGGAGGAGGAGUCGAACAACAACAACAACAACAACAACAACACUGCGGUGAUCCGCGACGACGGCAACCUGGUCCUCCUCGGCGGCGGCAACUCCUCCGACGUGCUCUGGCAGAGCUUCGACCACCCGACGGACACGCUGGUGCCGGGGGCGUGGCUCGGGGAGAACAAGCUCACCGGCGAGUACCAGGGGCUCACGUCGUGGCGGAACGCCGAGGACCCCGCGCCGGGCAUGUUCAGCAACACCGUGGACCGCAACGGCACCAGCGAGUUCUUCUACUUCUGGAACCGGACACGCGUCUACUGGCGGAGCGGCGUGUGGACGGGCCGCGUCUUCGCGCUCGUGCCGGAGGCGGUCAACAACGUGCUCUUCAACCAGACCUACGUCGAGACGCCGGCGUACCGGCGGCUCAGCUGGGCGCUCUACGACAACGCGACGAUCACGCGGCAGGUGUUCGAGGGGACGGGGCAGGCGAAGCAGUACAUCUGGGUGCCCGCCAGCCAGCGCUGGCAGUUCUUCUGGGCCGCGCCCACCGUGCAGUGCGACGCGUACGCCGUCUGCGGCGCCUUCGGCGUCUGCGACCAGAGGAGCCAGCCGUCCUGCCGGUGCCCGCCCGGGUUCGUGCCGGCGUCGGAGCGGGACUGGGCGCUCAGCGACUGGACCGGCGGGUGUCGCCGGAACUCGUCGCUCGCGUGCGCGCGCAACGGCAACGGGUCGUCGUCCACGUCCACGGACGGGUUCCUGGUGCUGCCCAACGUUAAGCUCCCCGACGACUCGCUCGCCGUGGGCGCCCAGAGCAAAACAGAGUGCGAGUCGGCUUGCCUCGACAACUGCUCUUGCCAGGCCUACACCUUCUCCGGCGGCGGCCUGUGCGCCGUCUGGCACGGCGAGUUCCGCAACCUUCAGCAGCUUUACGCCGACUCUGGGGCCUCGGGGUCGUCGGACCUGUAUCUCCGGCUUUCAGAAUCAGGGCUGCGAGAUUUGAGCAGAGCAAACAAGAAGAGCGAUGGGGGGCUACCACUGCAGCUUGUCGUCGGAAUCGUGUUGGCAUGUGUGGCAGCGGCAUUGAUCGCAUCGGCGCUGCUGGCCUGGUUCCUCCUUUCCAGGAGGCGGCGGCGGCGUCGGCUGGACAGCAUGGCGAACGAGGCGGGCUCCUCCUUGGCCGUGUACAGCUACGGCGACCUCCGCGCCGCCACCAAGAACUUCUCGAACCGGCUCGGCGGCGGAGGCUUCGGCUCCGUGUACCGCGGCGUCCUGAAGAGCGGGGACACCGUCACCGAGGUGGCGGUCAAGAAGCUGGAGGGUCUCCGGCAGGGCGACAAGCAGUUCCGGGCGGAGGUGAACACGCUCGGGCGCAUCCAGCACGUCAACCUCGUCCGGCUCCUGGGCUUCUGCUCGUCGGCCGACGAGAAGCUGCUCGUGUACGAGUACAUGCCCAACGGCUCUCUCGAGGGCUACCUCUUCAAGGGCAGCGGCGGCUCGUGCCCGAGCUGGCGCGACCGCUAUGGCAUCAUGCUCGGCGUCGCCAGAGGGCUGGCGUACCUGCACGACGGCUGCCGCGAGUGCAUCAUACACUGCGACGUGAAGCCGGAGAACAUACUGCUGGACAGGGACCUGUGCGUGAAGCUCGCCGACUUCGGGAUGGCGAAGCUGGUGGGGAGGGACUUUAGCCGCGCCCUGACGACGAUGCGCGGCACCAUCGGGUACCUGGCGCCGGAGUGGAUCUCCGGGCUGCCCAUCAGCGCCAAGGCGGACGUGUACAGCUUCGGGAUGGUACUCUUCGAGCUCAUCUCGGGCCGACGCAACACCGACAGCUCCGGCGGCGGCGGCGGCGGGAGGGACAGUGGCGAUGAUGGCAGCGACGCCACGGAGGCGGAGGCGGGGCGGCCUGUGUCGACGUUCUUCCCGGUGUGGGCUGCGGGGAAGGUGGCGGCGGGGGAGGCGGGCGCCGUGGCGGACCCGCGGCUGCGCGGCGACGUGAGGGCGGAGGAGCUGGAGCGGGCGUGCAGGGUGGCGUGCUGGUGCAUCCAGGACCAGGAGGCGCACCGGCCGACCAUGGCGCAGGCCGUGCAGGCGCUGGAGGGCGUCGUGCACGUCGACAUGCCGCCGAUGCCGCGGACGCUGCAGAACCUGACGCUGGCGUGA